GCUAGCAAUCAGUGAGACUCCGUGGGCGUAGGACCCUCCAAGCCAGGUGAGGGAUAUAAUCUUGUGUUGAGCCGUUUUUUAAGCCCCUCGGAAAAGCGCAGUAUUCGGGUGGGAGUGACCCGAUUUUCCAGGUGCCUUCCAUCACCCCUUUCUUUGACCCCGAAAGGGAACUCCCUGACCCCUUGCGCUUCCCGAGUGAGGCAAUCCCUCCCCCUGCUUCGGCUGGCGCCUGGUGCGCGCACCCACUGACCUGCGCCCACUGUCUGGCACUCCCUAGUGAGAUGAACCCGGUACCUCAGAUGGAAAUGCGGAAAUCACCUGUCUUCUCCGUGGCUCAGGUUGGGAGCUGUAGACUGGAGCUGUUCCUAUUCGGCCAUAUUGGCUCCUCCCCUCCAGCUUUUUGACUCUUGGACUUAUACCAGUGGUUUGCCAGGGGCUCUCAGGCCUUUGGCCGCAGACUGAAGGCUGCAUUAUUGGCUUCCCUACUUUUGAGGUUUUGGAACUUGGACUGGCCUCCUUGCUCCUCAGCUUACAGACGGCCUAUUGUGGGACUUCACCUUGUGAUCAGGGAUUGGGUGGAGGCAAGAGAAGAAUAUUUAGAAGCAAAAGGGAAAGACAUGAAACCUCAAACUAAGUGACAAAGUGAGCAUAAUCACUGUCAGAGGAGAAUGUUAAGAAAACACAAAAGAGGUGCCGAUCCACAAGACAAAAAGUGAGAAACACACUCACUCGUCCAAACCCAAAGAAUGGAUUUAGAGGCAUGAAGAACAGCAAAAGUGAAACUAUUAAAUAAUGAUUUUGCAAGAUCAGGUGUCUGGUGAGUAGGAACAUCUGGAGAAGUCACAACAGGUAGUUUAUCUCCUAUCAUGCAAGUCCCUCCCCUAGUUCCUCAUUGGUCAAGUACUGUGGGGUUACAAUCUUCCUGGAUGUUACCUAAGUUUCAUUAUCUCCCUUAGAAGGUUAUAUUCCAUCUCCUUCCCUGCCUAAGUUUUGAUCUCCCAACAACAAAACUUUCUUCCCUUUUAUGGGCUGACCCCUCCUCUACAUUCCAUUUGUUUAUUGUGACCUUCUAGGUGCAUGAGCCGUGCAGUUUGUUACAUUUGCAGGCUAGCUGCCCGUACUUAGAUUUAUCAUGCCUUGAAAAUGGACCAUUUAAAAUGUUUUCUCACGAAGGUGUAUCUUCAUUGACUGAACCGUAAAAAGAAACUGGGUGCUCAAAUUACUGCUUGGAGAAGAAACAACCUCUGAUUCAGAAUACCAAAUUGGGAUUUUAUUGGAGUAAGAGAUAGACUCAUCAUUUCUGAUUGAUUAUACAUUUUAAAACUUGUUUUCUACCUUACAGUUGCUGGCUUAGUGCUGAAUUAGGAAGCAUAUGAAUGCAUGUGAUAACUUUUCCAUUCUUUAAUUUUAUUCUGUUAUUAAUUGACAUAAAAUUACAAAUUCCUAGUUAAUAUAUGAAGCUGGCAGUUAGAUAACUACUGGAGUAAUACGGUUUGGCUCUGUGUCCCCACCAAAAUCUCAUACUGUGGCUCCCAUAAUUCAUACAUAUUGUGGAAAAGACCGGGUGGAAGAUGAUUGAAUCAUGGGGGUGAUUUGUUCCCCUGCUAUUCUUAUGAUAGUGAAUGGGUUUCAUGAGAUCUGAUGGUUUUAAAAACUGGAGUUUCUCUGCACAAGCUCUUUUUUGCCUGCUGCCAUCCACGUAAGAUGUGACUUGCUCCUCCUUGCCUUCCACCAUGAUUUUGAGGCCUCCUCAGCCAUGUGGAACUGUAAGUCCAAUAAACCUCUUUAUUUUGUAAAUUGCCCAAUCUCAGGAAUGUCUUUAUCAGCGGUGUGAAAAUGGGCUAAUGGAGUAAAUUGGUACCAGAAGAGUUGGGUGUUGCCGAAAAGAUAACUGAAAAUGUGGAAGCGACUUUGGAACUGAGUAGCAGGCAGAGGUUGGAACAGUUUGGAGGGCUCAGAAGAAGACAAGAAAUGUGGAAAAGUUUGGAACUCCCUAGAGACUUGUUGAAAGGCUUUGACAAGAAUACUGAUAAUGAUAUGGACAAUGAAAUCUGCACUGAGGUAUUCUCAGAUGGAGAUUAGGAAGUUUUGGAGAACUGGAAUAAAGGUGACUCUUUUUACGUUUUAGCAAAGAGGCUGGCAGCAUUUUCCCCCUGCCCUAGAGAUUUGUGGAACUCUGAA
rnacentral:lncRNA from 1 species